AAAAAAAAAACUACUCCAUAUAUAAAACUCUUUCACAUUUAAAACCUUAUAAUUAUAGUUCUUUAAAACACUAUAGCUAGAUUUGAAUAAAGUGAAUUUCUUUUAAAAUAAAUGUAAUAUAUAGAGUACACAUCUAUGUUUAUCCAGAGAACAAAAAAGAGUUUAAAAAUCGAAUAAAAGUUUACUUACAUAUAUAAUGAAGUAAAUCUACAUGCCGGAGAAAGAAACAUCACAAAUAUCAGUCAAUAUUCAAAAAAAGUUAUUUUUUUCUUUUUGAAGAAUAUUUGUUUCAAGAGUCAAUUUGUAUGAUAUUAAACAAAUAACAAAACUUUGGCUAUACAAUUGCUGUCAUUAAAUUCAAUUUAACACCUUCUAGAAAUUGAAGGGUAUAGCUGAAACCUUUUCAUUUAGCUGCAGUCAAGCCAACAUUGCAAGGGUAUAAUAUUUUUUUUGUUGAAGAAUAUUAGUUUUGAAUCAUUAGAUUAUGUGAAAGGUUUUUUUUCUCGAAUUCAACAAGAGGAAUAUUGGUUUCUAAUUGAUAAUUUCUAUAGCAAUUUUCAAGUGUAACAAAAAGUAUAUUUAAAAAAAAUUGGUAUGACGUGAUUUGUUUUUUUAAAAAUGUAAACAAAUUAUUUCGAAAUGGGAUUAUUUUUUAAAAUAUAAUGUAAUUUUAAAAAUAAAAAGAUAAGAUAUUUUUGAAUUUUAGUAGAGAGUUUUUAAAAUUAUUAUAAUAGAAGUCAUAUCAUGGAUAAAAUCAAGAAACUAAAAUCUUAUGAAAUAUUUACAUAAAUAUCCGGCCAAAUUUAUUGUUUAAUUUUUAUAGCUAAUAUACAUAGAUGAUAUACCGAUAACACACGAUUAUACAUAUACAGUCAAACCCCUCUAUAACAACGUCGCUUGUUCCGAAUAUUUUUGGAUGUUAUAGCGAGGUGUUGUUAUAGAGAACAUAUAUUAUAACAUAACAUAAAAAUUAGUUCCGAAAAGCUUGACUUUUAAAGUGAAGUAUUGUUAUAUAAAAAUGCUGUUAUAGUGAGGUCUGACUGUAUUAUAUAUAAAUUACACAUCCUUCAAUUUUUUAAUUUAAGUGAUUGAUGGAGCACCUAUUUAGGUUGAUUAGAUAAAACCAAAAGAAAAAUAUGAAAGAAUUUCAACCAAAGACUAAAAAUAUAAAUAAAGUUCUUAUGUAGACAAUUUCUAUUAAAACUCAUCCUUUUUAUAGCGAAUUAAAUUAAUUUUUUAGUAAAAAAAGAAAGAAAGACAUAAAAAACAAGAUAAAAGAAAAUAAAUAUAGAAAAAAUGUAUGAAAAAUCUAAAAACCAGAAAUAAGAGAUGACAACGAAUUUCUUCUUCUGUUUCAUCUUUGUUGAGUAUAAAAAUUUUGGAAGCUGAUCUCAUCGAUUUUAAAUAUUUUUUUCAACUCAAAUACAUAGAUUAAAAGAUAAGGAUAUCUUAGAAUAUAUUUUUAAUUUACUUUGUGUGUCGUUUUUAAAAAAUCGCUAUUACUAACAAACUUAUAUGAUAUUCGAAUUUGAAUUUAAAUGUAAUUUGAGUAGUUUGCAUUGAUGUUAAGCCAAGUAUAGUGUCGAAAAAAAACUACUUGCUAAUUUUAAGACAAUAUAUGCAAUAUUAUAUAAUAACAAUCAAUUAAUUUAACAUUUAAUGAUUCAAAGAACAAAAAAUCUGUAUAUAUAGGGUAUUCAAAAUUCAAAAUCUGUGGUUAGAGAUAUCAAUAAACUCAAAAUGGAGUCAUACUGAAAUAAAGUUUUUUCGGCUAAAGAAUCAUUUAAAUUUUUAGAUAGUCGAUUAAAGUAAAUUUUAAUUUAAGGAUAAUAUCUUCACUUGCAUCAUUAUAAAGAUAAUCAUUAUUGAAAAAUAUAUAAAGUUUUAGAAAUUGAUAUUUCAAAAUAUAAAUAUUUUUUGAAAGAUAACAACAUACCAAAUAAGAGUUCAAGUCGUAAUAAAAGAGUCAUGUCAUAACCAAAGAAUCGUUCAUACUAUGUCAACCUUUGUGCUUUGCCAUAAAUACGAGUUAUUAUUCCGCUUUGUGGUUAUUUUUAGGUUCCAAUAACACCAAUGAGAAUGGUGCAAAAAUAAAAUUAUCACUGCGAGAUUUGAGAAAAUGUUAGUCUUUCUUCAUCUAGUGUUUCUUAAUUAAUAACUAACGAUUAUAUAUAAUAAUCUAGAAGGUUUAAAUUUUAAGGUUAUUUACAUAUAAUUCAAAUAACUCAGAUAUUUAACAUGAUUAAUGUCAAAUAUCAAAAUGGAGUCAUACUGAAAAAAACUUCACUGGCUAAAGAAGUUUUUAUAUUUUUAGAUAGCCGACUAAAAUGAGUUUUGAAUUAAGAAUAUAAAAAUAAUUAUUAUUAAAAAAUAAAAUUUUAGAAACUAAAAUUUUAAAAUAGAAAUAUCUUUUAAUAGAUAUCAACACACCAAAUAAGAGUUCAAGUAGUAUUUAAUUGAGACCAAAGAGUCCUUCAUAGUCUCAACCUUUAAUUGUUUUGCCAUAAAUAUGAGUUAUUAUUUUGCUUCCUGACUAUUUUUAGGAUCCAAUGACACCGGCGAGAAUGUUACCAAAAAAGAAAAAUAGAAUUAUAACUAGGAGAUUUGAGAAAUUGUUAAUUUCAUGUAAUGUUUCUUAAUUAAUAUCCAAUGAUUAUCUAUAUUUAUCGAGAGAAUUUAAAUUUUAAGAUUAUUUAUAUAUAAUCCAAGUAACUCAAAUGGUUGACAUGAUUAGUGUCCGCGCAUCCGCGCGGGUGCUAAUACUAGUUAAGAAUAAAGGUGUACUUAUCACCCCAUCACAAUCUUUGAUCACAAUAAGUGAUAUUUGAUUAAUUUUUAGAAAUAUUUUCCCGUCAUUUUGAUGUUCUAAUAAUCAAAAUAUUAUUUUUUAGUUAUUGAGAUAGUUCUCCCUAUAAAAAAAAUGUACAAGCAAAUUUUACAAAGCGAUAACUCGUUAUAUUUUAAUGGAGAAUACCUAAAAAAAACCCUAAACUUGGCACAGAUUAUUAGUUACAGCCCUAAACUAUUUGUGAUCUUAAUUACCCCCUCAACUUGGUCUUUUGAGAGUCAUUACCCCCUUGGACGUUGAUGUGGCAAAGAGUGUGGGUGUACUCUCUUUUAAGCGCGUGGGAGUGAAGAAAAAUUGAAAAAUCAGCUUCCAAAUAGGUUAUUUUUUUAACUUUUAAUUGUCAUAUAGUCAUAUUGUAAAACAUUUGGUAGGAACUCCAUCAUUUUAGCCAAAUAAAAAACUUUUAGCAAAAAUAAUGGAGUACCAGUUGUGUAUAUUUCCUAUUUUUUUUUCUUUAUAUAUAAUGUCUAUUUAUUUUAAUUGUGUAUUUUUAUUUUUGAGUCAAACCAAUAAAAAAGAAUUGGCCAUAGCUCCAUUAUUUUUUACCAAAUAAAAAAAGUAUAUCCAAAAUAAUGAACUUGCAAUUGUACACUCUUUUUAUUUCUUCUUUUGAUGCAAUGACUAUUUAUUUCAAUUGUAUAUUUUUACUUUCUCAGGUAAAAUUUGUAAAAUAAAUAUAUUUUUAGAACAUCAUAAUUUAGAGCUAUAUAAAAAAUUAUAGCCAAAAUAAUAAAUUUUAAAUUAUGUAUUUUUAUAACUUUUUAGAUGCCUUGACUAUUUAUUUCAAUUGUAUAAAUUUUUAUUUUAAGGUCAAAUUCAAAAAAAAGAAUAACUAAAACUUUAUUAUUUUUAGUCAAAUAAAAAAAUUAGCCUAAAUAAUGUAGUUCUAUCCAAGUUUUAUUAUAAAUUUUAUUCAAAAAAUAUUAUCUAAAAAAAUAACAUACUUAAAAACGUAAAAAUAUAUUUUAUAUUUCAAAAAAAUGCCACAUAGACAGAAAAAUCCACGUGACGGGCGAGUGCAUGUCACUUUCCUAGAAUAAGAUCGUCCAAGGGGUUAACAACUAUCGAAUAACCAAGUAUAGGGGGGUAAUUAAGACCAUAAAUAGUUCAAGGAUGUAAUCAAUAAUGCGUGCCAAGUUUAGGGGAGUUUUAAGGUGUUUUGCCUAUUUUAAUUCGCUCUAUAAAAAUUUUAUUUUCAAUACUUGACUUCCUUUCACUCGUGUAAAAGCAAAAAUGUUAGCAGUUUUUGUAAUGUAAUUAAUUUAAAACAGUGCUGCCUACGUACGUAAAUUAAAUAUGUUAGCUUUAUCCGUACAUUUAAUUUAUUGCAUACAUGUAUUGAAGGUGUUAUAAUAAUUUACCUCAAGCCAAGAGUAACACUUUAUUCAUAUGUUCCUUUUCUUCACAUCAAACUUAGUGUAAAAGAGACAUACAAAGACAACACUAAUAAACUUAGUGUUGAAGGGAAAAGACAUACAUAUUAAAGACAACAUUUAAUCAGAAAUAUUCUUCACGUCGUAAGCCAAGCUUAUUGUUAAAGGAAAAAAGAAAUACAAAGACAACAUUUAAAUCAGAAAAACACACACAUAUAUAUUUGGAGCAAAUAUUUGCAACCAAACAUUAAUUUUCAGUUAGGAUCAGAAUCAUUCAUUUAGUUUAACACAGAAAGUGAGAAGUUGAACUAUGGAGUGGAAAAAGAUUAUAUAUAAUUUUCUAAAAGCAAUCUAUUUUCUUUCUCCGUAUAAAGCUCGCUACUCGACUCACAAUGGGAUGCCAACGAUUAUUUUUAAAGCCAGUAACUACUAUGGGGUUAAGGCAGAAGAGUGUAGAUUCAUAAUUGUGGGCAAAUUUCUUCGUACAAGGCCUCAAAUUGAAAAAAUCGGAUCCAAAUUUGCUGAGAAGAUAUCUGUAAAAGGUAGUGUAAGAAUAGGGUUUACACAAAAGCUAGAAUAUGAGAAUGUGCCAAAGUACUGCAGGCACUCGAUAACUCAAUGUAGGAAAUUGAAAAAAAGCCAGAAGAUGAUGGAAAUGUCAAGGGAAAGAAUGUACCAAAAGAGAAGGGCAACAAAGAACUACAAGAUGAAAGUAGCAGGGGAAAACAACAAGAGAAAAAAGAGGCUGUGGGAAAUGAGAACCAACAAAAGGAUAUGAAUGUGCAAAAUUCUGAUAAAGGCUGAGGAGGACAAGAAGACAAUGAAAGUGCAGUGAAGGGUAGUAAGGAGAGCAACGCAAAUAUGGACCAGAUUAAGAUUAUUGAAGAAGAAAAUAGUAGAAAAACAGAAGGCAUAAAUAAUGACAAACCAUCUGCUAGGGAAAGGACAUGAAACAAAAAUAAGAAAAAGAAAAUAAAAGUUCUCUUCAAGCCAGUCCAAUCCGAGGAAAGUAGCAGAAAAUAUCCUACAAAGACCCUCAAGAUAGUUCAACAUGACUUGUAUGAAACUACAACAGAAGGACAAAAUCAACUUAAUUGAGUGGAGGAACAACUUGGGAACCAUGAAAGAAACUCAGAGAUGGCCUGCAGUAAAGAGGUAGUGGCUAAAACCGGUGGGGAGAAUAUGAAUUAAAUAGGAACCAAAGAAAUAAAUCAAGAAGACUCGACAAGUAGAAUAGACACAAACAUUAACAACUCUCUGUUAACACUAGCACUACAGUCCAGGCCCAAUACAAGCAAGAUCUGCACGGCCCAUUAGUGCAUCCCAUCAAGCAGCCCAUCAAAAAUAACCUUUAUCAUUUUACUUAGAUUUUUAGCUAUUGUUUUAGUUAUAUUGAGAUAUUUUGUAAUAAGUAGGUACAAUAUUCUAGACAGACAAAUUAUCUUUUCUUCCUCUCUCUAUCUUCAGAAACCUUAGGGUUUUCUUUCAACUUCUCUCUACGCGAAAAUGAAUUUUUGAUGAUGUUAACAUGGUAUCAGAGCAUGGAUUCGGCAUCAUCUCAUCCUCACCUUCACUCUGAUGUUACCCUUGACCGGAGUUUUCGUCUUUUCCGUUUGGUUCGCUGAAAUUGGGGUUUUAGUCUGAGACGUGAAUUUCUUGAAGAAAAAUUGGGGAUCUCUACAAUUUUGGUUUGAAGUCGACUCUCCUCGCGUUGUGUUGCUGGAAUCUAGUGGUUAUCAACAUUUUCUGCUUCAUUCGAGUGCCAUCCUAGGGUUUUCGAAUUUGCUCGCAAUUGAUUCUCUAUUUCAGAAGGCUGGUAACAUUCUUCCUAUCUACAACUUUACAGCUUAUUUCUCUUCAUGUGUGAGGAACAUUCUGUGAUUUUCAUGUUGUGUGUGUAGAAAUUAUUGUUCAUCUCAAGUCAACUUCGAUCUCUAGUGAUUGUAUUUUCUUUGAUUGUGUAAUUUGACUAAGUCUGUUGUCAUGUGUAGCAUUCAUGAUAAUGUAGAUAAUACCACAACCUCCAACUCUGGAGGUUUUGUGCCUUUCUCCCUAGAUCCCUAGAUCCCUCUGUAUGUCCAACCUUCAGACAGUCCUGGUAGUCAAUUGGUUUUAAUACCUUUUAAUGGCACGGGUUUUGUUAUUUGGAGAAGUAGCAUGCUCACUUCCUUAUCUACCAAGAAUAAACUAGGGAUCCUAUACGAGAGAAUAUCUCAACCUACUCCGGACUCACCCUAUUAUCCCUAUUGGGAAAGAUGUAAUGAAAUGGUCAAGUCCUGGAUCAUAAACCCUGUCUCUAGAGAAAUUUUCACUAGUGUAAUGUGUCUUAAGACUGCCAAAGAGGUCUGGAAAGAUAUUAAUGAGAGGUUUGGGCAGUCCAAUGGGUCAAAGUAUCUACAAAUUUAUAGAGAUAUAAGUACAACUAUGCAAGGUUCUUCAGACAUAGCUAAUUACUUUACUAAGCUUAGAACACUUUGGGAUGAAUUGAAUUUAUCUAAUAUGGGACCUACAUGUUCAUGUUGGGCUCUUCCCAAGUUCAUAGAAGAUCAACAGUUGUUUCAAUUCCUCAAUGGAUUAAAUGAAUCUUAUUCUAUAAUCAAAAGCAUAAUUAUGAUGAUGAAUCCCUUAUCACCCAUAAGUAAAGUCUAUUCUAUCUUACAACAAGAUAAGAGCCAGAGAGAAGCACCGUAUACUCCUAGUUUUUCUGGUGAUUCUGCAUCUUUUCUAGCCUCUCCUACUUCUUUCAACAACAACAACAGGAACUUCACUCAGAGGGUUAACUUUGACUCCAAAAGGAAGGCAAAUUCUGUAUCUUGCAAGUAUUGCAAGAAAACUGGACAUAUUGUGGACAAAUACUAUAGGCUGCAUGGAUUUUCUGUUGAUUUUAAGUUUACCAAGAACAAGAAAUCAACAUCUUGUGUCCAGACUGAAGUUCCAUAUGCCUCCCCUUCUUGUUCUUCUGCUGCCUCCUCUGAUAAUUCAACUCAUGGUUUUACCAAGAAGCAAUAUCAACAUCUCAUGAGUAUGUUUCAGCAAGUUCAACUCUCUACUAGGAUGUCUCCCGGUGUUUCCUCCACAGAAGACUCUGUUUUUGCUCAUUUUGCAGGUUUGUUCAGUGCUUAUGCUGCUGAUUAUCAUGUUUCUCAUGCACGUGCAUCUUCACAUCUAGGUAUACAACUUUGGAUUUUGGAUUCAGGAGCCGUUAACCAUAUGACUCCACACAAACAUCUACUUCAAAAUCUCACACCUUUACCUAAACCCUUCUUUGUUACUUUACCCAAUGGUUAUAAAGUAAAAGUUAUAUCAACUAGAUCAUUACAUCUUAGGCAUGGUAUAAUAUUGAUCAAUGUUCUUUUUGUACCUUCUUUACAAUUCAAUUUAAUUUCCAUUCAUCAACUUAUCACACAAUUGGACUACAUAAUAGUACUUACAAAAACCAAUUAUCUUUUACAGGGCCCUUAUCUGAAGAGGCCACUGGUAAUUGGUAAGGCUGCUUGGAGAUUAUACUAUCUACAUCCAGAUGUUGAUCUGUUUCCAUCUUCUCUUACUGCCUCUAUAGUACAACCUAGUUCAAUUUCUUGUAAUAAGCCAAGUUCAUUUACUUCUUCUUCAAUCAACCUUCAAUUAUUGUUGAUUCUGCUUGUAAUCAAACAUCUACUAUUAAUAAAAUAGAUUUGUUUUGGCAUCAAAGGUUAGGUCAUAUACCUUUUCAUAAAAUGAGAUCUAUUUCUUAUUUGUUUGAUAAAGUUUCUUCUAAAUAAUCUUUUCUUUGUCCAUUCUGCCCAAUGGCUGGACAUAGAGGUUACCUUUUCAUGACGGUUCUAUACAGUCUACUGCCCCCUUCCAACUUGUUCGCUUUGAUAUUUAGUGACCCUAUAACACUAAGACAUAUAAUGAGUUCAGGUAUUUUCUCACUUUAGUGGAUGAUUAUACUAGAGUAACCUGGACACACCUUCUCUCUUAUAAGGGUAAUGCCCUAUCUAUCCUUAGGGAAUUUACAUCUAUGGUCAAAGUUCAUUUUCAUUCCAAUGUUCAUGAUUUUAGGUCAGAUAAUGCUUUUGAAUUAGGUAGUAGUACUGAAGCUAUUACUUUCUUUGGAAAUGAGGAUAUUCUUCAUCAAACAACCAUUCCUCACACCCCACAAUAAAAUAGUGUUGUGGAAAAAAAAUACAAAUAUCUUUUGAAAGUUGCCAUGGCACUUCUAUUUCAGUCUAAGCUUCCUCUCAAGAUUUGGGGUGAGUGCAUACUUACUGCCACUUGCCUUAUCAAUAGAAUGCCUUCACCUCUUAUGCUCAACCUCUCUCCUUAUAAAAAAUUGCAUGGCAAUCCACCCACUUAUGAACACUUAAAAUCCUUUGGCUUCAUUUGCUUUGCCACAUCUCCUAAGGUGGACAGGGAUAAAUUUCAGUCAAGAUCCAUCUUCUACUUAUUUUUGGGUUACCCCUGUGGAAAAAAAGGUUACAAGUUAUUGAAUCUCUCUAAUUUUUCUAUUUUCUACUCUAGAGAUGUAGUAUUUCAUGAACAUAUUUUUCCUUACAAAUCAACAUCUUAUUCUCUUCCUUCAUUCUUUCCUUUCUUUGUACAACCAUUUGUUGAAUUCCCAUCUCAUGGUUCUGCCACUCCUCCUGCUACUGAAGAUCUUCCUCCUCUUAUUACUAGUCCUCCUAUGUCUCCUUUAGUACCUUCUCAUCCUCCUCUCAGUCUUAUCACCUCCAAUCUUCCUUCCCCUAGUUCUACUGUUUCUAAUUCCUCCUCUAACAUUCCUUCUCUUUCUCAUAUUUUUCCUCCUCUUAGGAAAUCUCUUAGAACAGUUACCAAACCUACCUACUCGAAUGACUAUGUUUGCAAUUAUGCUUUACUUCAUGCUCCUCCUCCCGAUUCCUCCAUGAUUGCUCCUAGUGACCCUCAUAUGCAUGAGCCUCAGUUUUACCAGCAGGCGGCAUCAAACCCUGCAUGGAAGGAGGCUAUGCUACAAGAAUUUAGGACUCUUAAUGCAAAUCAGACCUAUGACAUUGUUCCUCUACCACCUAACAAGAAAGCCAUUCCUUGCAAGUGGGUCUAUAAGAUCAAACAAAAGGCUGAUGGUUCUAUUGAAAGGUAUAAGAAAAGACUGAUUAUUAGGGGUGAUGCUCAAAGGAAAGGCAUUGAUUUCACUGAAACUUUCUCCCCUAUGGUCAAACUGACCACUAUUAAAUGCCUAUUUACCUUGGCUAUCAAGAGAGAUUGGACUGUUUUUCAACUUGAUGUAAACAAUGAUUUUCUCCAUGGUGACCUAAGUGAGGAGGUCUACAUAAAGGUUCCUCCUGGCCUUGACAUCUUCUUCUUCCACUUCUUUACCACUGGUUUGCAGACUUAAGAAGUCCCUCUAUGGCCUCAGGCAGGCUUCCAGAUAGUGGUUUUCAAAACUGUUUGAAGCCCUGCUCUCCAGAGGCUACAUUUCCAGUCUUAACGACUAUUCUCUCUUCACCAAAUCAACUUCUGGUUCUCUGGUGGUUCUUGCUGUAUAUGUGGAUGACAUCCUCUUAGCUGGGGAUGAUGUCUCUGAAUUGAACUCCUUAAAGUCUUUUUUGGACUCUCAAUUCAAGAUCAAGGAUCCGGGUACAAUACACUAUUUUUUGGGGUUAGAAGUUUCCCAACAUCCUCAAGACUACCUUAUGACUCAACAGAAGUAUGCCACUGAUCUUCUAGCUGAGUCUAAUUACCAGUAUUUCACUCCUGUUCUCACUAAUUUGGACCCUUACUCCAAAUUGGUGUUGGACUUGGAAGAGCCACCUACUGGUCCCUGAACCUACAGAAGAUUGAUAGGAAAACUUAACUUCUUACAACACACCAUGCCAGAUAUUUCCUUUUCUGUGCAGCACUUGAGCUAAUUUCUUCAUAAGCCUCAAGUGCCCCACAUGCAAUCUUCUUUACAUGUUCUGAGGUACCUUAGCUUCUGAAUGAUUUAGCCCAGGGUAUUCUGCUUUCCAACAGUUCUGAUUUUUCUCUUCUUGGUUAUUCUGACUCUGAUUGGGCUGCUUGUGCUGUCUCUCACAAAUCUGUAUCUGGUUUCUAUAUCACUCUUGGUGGCAGUCCUGUUUCAUGGAAAAGCAAGAAGCAUCCUACUGUAUUCUUGUCUUCAGUUAAAGUGGAGUACAGGGCCUUGAGGAAAAUUGUUGCUGAAGUUUCUUGGUUAGUUCGACUUUUGGGUGAUCUUGGUCUGCCCAUUUGCAGUCAUGUUCCCAUUCACUGUGAUAGUCAAGCUGCCUUACACAUAGCUAAGAACUCUCUCUUCCAUGAACGUACCAAACACAUAAAAAUUGAUUGUCAUUAUGUACGUGAAUGUCUGAAUGCUAGCCUUAUUUCUUUGCAUUUUGUUCCCAGUUCUGCCCAGCUCGCUGACAUCAUGACUAAAGCCUUACCUGGACAGCCUCACUAUGGUUUUUUUGCAAGCUUGGUAUGUUUUCACCCUCCAGCUUGGGGGGGGGGGAGUGUUAACACUAGCACUACAUUUCAGGCCCAAUACAAGCAAGAUCUGCACGUCCCAUUAGUGCAGCCCAUCGAAAAUAGCAUUUAUCAUUUUACUUAGAUUUUUAGCUAUUAUUUUAGUUAUAUUGAGAUAUUUUGUAAUAAGUAGGUACAAUAUUCUAGACAGACA
rnacentral:lncRNA from 1 species